rnacentral:rRNA from 1 species
CCUACGGGGGGCAGCAGUGGGGAAUAUUGGGCAAUGGGCGCAAGCCUGACCCAGCAACGCCGCGUGAAGGAAGAAGGCUUUCGGGUUGUAAACUUCUUUUGUCAGGGACGAAGCAAGUGACGGUACCUGACGAAUAAGCCACGGCUAACUACGUCCCAGCAGCCGCGGUAAUACGUAGGUGGCAAGCGUUAUCCGGAUUUACUGGGUGUAAAGGGCGUGUAGGCGGGACUGCAAGUCAGAUGUGAAAACCACGGGCUCAACCUGUGGCCUGCAUUUGAAACUGUAGUUCUUGAGUACUGGAGAGGCAGACGGAAGUCCUAGUGUAGCGGUGAAAUGCGUAGAUAUCACACAGAACACCGAUUGCGAAGGCAUCUCACGAAUCCGCGAUUGACGCUGAUGCACGAAAGCGUGGGUAUCAAACAGGAUUAGAUACCCCAGUAGUC